rnacentral:rRNA from 1 species
UACGGAGGGGGCUAGCGUUGUUCGGAAUUACUGGGCGUAAAGCGCACGUAGGCGGCUUUGUAAGUUAGAGGUGAAAGCCCGGGGCUCAACUCCGGAAUUGCCUUUAAGACUGCAUCGCUAGAAUUGUGGAGAGGUGAGUGGAAUUCCGAGUGUAGAGGUGAAAUUCGUAGAUAUUCGGAAGAACACCAGUGGCGAAGGCGACUCACUGGCCACAUAUUGACGCUGAGGUGCGAAAGCGUGGGGAGCAAACAGG